AUUGAACGCUGGCGGCAGGCCUAACACAUGCAAGUCGAACGGUAACAGGGAUCAGCUUGCUGAUUCGCUGGCGAGUGGCGGACGGGUGAGUAAUGUCUGGGAAACUGCCUGAUGGAGGGGGAUAACUACUGGAAACGGUAGCUAAUACCGCAUAACGUCGCAAGACCAAAGAGGGGGACCUUCGGGCCUCUUGCCAUCGGAUGUGCCCAGAUGGGAUUAGCUAGUAGGUGGGGUAACGGCUCACCUAGGCGACGAUCCCUAGCUGGUCUGAGAGGAUGACCAGCCACACUGGAACUGAGACACGGUCCAGACUCCUACGGGAGGCAGCAGUGGGGAAUAUUGCACAAUGGGCGCAAGCCUGAUGCAGCCAUGCCGCGUGUAUGAAGAAGGCCUUCGGGUUGUAAAGUACUUUCAGCGGGGAGGAAGGGAGUAAAGUUAAUACCUUUGCUCAUUGACGUUACCCGCAGAAGAAGCACCGGCUAACUCCGUG
rnacentral:rRNA from 1 species